UACGUAGGGUGCGAGCGUUAAUCGGAAUUACUGGGCGUAAAGCGUGCGCAGGCGGUUUUGUAAGCCAGAUGUGAAAUCCCCGGGCUUAACCUGGGAAUGGCAUUUGGGACUGCAAGGCUGGAGUGUGGCAGAGGAGACUGGAAUUCCCGGUGUAGCAGUGAAAUGCGUAGAGAUCGUAAGGAAGACCAGUGGCGAAGGCGAGUUUCUGGACAGUAACUGACGCUGAGGCACGAAAGCUAGGGGAGCAAACAGG
rnacentral:rRNA from 1 species